GGGUUGUGAGGUUAAGCGACUAAGCGUACACGGUGGAUGCCCUGGCAGUCAGAGGCGAUGAAGGACGUGCUAAUCUGCGAUAAGCGCCGGUAAGGUGAUAUGAACCGUUAUAACCGGCGAUUUCCGAAUGGGGAAACCCAGUGUGACUCGUCACACUAUCAUUAACUGAAUCCAUAGGUUAAUGAGGCGAACCGGGGGAACUGAAACAUCUAAGUACCCCGAGGAAAAGAAAUCAACCGAGAUUCCCCCAGUAGCGGCGAGCGAACGGGGAGGAGCCCAGAGCCUGAAUCAGCAUAUGUGUUAGUGGAAGCGUCUGGAAAGGCGCGCGAUACAGGGUGACAGCCCCGUACACAAAAGCGCAUGUGCUGUGAGCUCGAUGAGUAGGGCGGGACACGUGGUAUCCUGUCUGAAUAUGGGGGGACCAUCCUCCAAGGCUAAAUACUCCUGACUGACCGAUAGUGAACCAGUACCGUGAGGGAAAGGCGAAAAGAACCCCGGCGAGGGGAGUGAAAAAGAACCUGAAACCGUGUACGUACAAGCAGUGGGAGCACCCUUUGGGGUGUGACUGCGUACCUUUUGUAUAAUGGGUCAGCGACUUAUAUUCUGUAGCAAGGUUAACCGAAUAGGGGAGCCGGAGGGAAACCGAGUCUUAAUUGGGCGUUAAGUUGCAGGGUAUAGACCCGAAACCCGGUGAUCUAGCCAUGGGCAGGUUGAAGGUUGGGUAACACUAACUGGAGGACCGAACCGACUAAUGUUGAAAAAUUAGCGGAUGACCUGUGGCUGGGGGUGAAAGGCCAAUCAAACCGGGAGAUAGCUGGUUCUCCCCGAAAGCUAUUUAGGUAGCGCCUCGUGAAUUCAUCUCCGGGGGUAGAGCACUGUUUCGGCUAGGGGGCCAUCCCGGCUUACCAACCCGAUGCAAACUGCGAAUACCGGAGAAUGUUAUCACGGGAGACACACGGCGGGUGCUAACGUCCGUCGUGAAGAGGGAAACAACCCAGACCGCCAGCUAAGGUCCCAAAGUCAUGGUUAAGUGGGAAACGAUGUGGGAAGGCCCAGACAGCCAGGAUGUUGGCUUAGAAGCAGCCAUCAUUUAAAGAAAGCGUAAUAGCUCACUGGUCGAGUCGGCCUGCGCGGAAGAUGUAACGGGGCUAAACCAUGCACCGAAGCUGCGGCAGCGACGCUGAUGCGUUGUUGGGUAGGGGAGCGUUCUGUAAGCCUGCGAAGGUGGCCUGUGAGGGUUGCUGGAGGUAUCAGAAGUGCGAAUGCUGACAUAAGUAACGAUAAAGCGGGUGAAAAGCCCGCUCGCCGGAAGACCAAGGGUUCCUGUCCAACGUUAAUCGGGGCAGGGUGAGUCGACCCCUAAGGCGAGGCCGAAAGGCGUAGUCGAUGGGAAACGGGUUAAUAUUCCCGUACUUGGUGUUACUGCGAAGGGGGGACGGAGAAGGCUAUGUUGGCCGGGCGACGGUUGUCCCGGUUUAAGCGUGUAGGUGUGUGUUCCAGGUAAAUCCGGUUCACUUUAACACUGAGGCGUGAUGACGAGGCACUACGGUGCUGAAGCAACAAAUGCCCUGCUUCCAGGAAAAGCCUCUAAGCAUCAGGUAACAUCAAAUCGUACCCCAAACCGACACAGGUGGUCAGGUAGAGAAUACCAAGGCGCUUGAGAGAACUCGGGUGAAGGAACUAGGCAAAAUGGUGCCGUAACUUCGGGAGAAGGCACGCUGACACGUAGGUGAAGUGAUUUACUCAUGGAGCUGAAGUCAGUCGAAGAUACCAGCUGGCUGCAACUGUUUAUUAAAAACACAGCACUGUGCAAACACGAAAGUGGACGUAUACGGUGUGACGCCUGCCCGGUGCCGGAAGGUUAAUUGAUGGGGUCAGCGCAAGCGAAGCUCCUGAUCGAAGCCCCGGUAAACGGCGGCCGUAACUAUAACGGUCCUAAGGUAGCGAAAUUCCUUGUCGGGUAAGUUCCGACCUGCACGAAUGGCGUAAUGAUGGCCAGGCUGUCUCCACCCGAGACUCAGUGAAAUUGAACUCGCUGUGAAGAUGCAGUGUACCCGCGGCAAGACGGAAAGACCCCGUGAACCUUUACUAUAGCUUGACACUGAACAUUGAGCCUUGAUGUGUAGGAUAGGUGGGAGGCUUUGAAGUGUGGACGCCAGUCUGCAUGGAGCCGGCCUUGAAAUACCACCCUUUAAUGUUUGAUGUUCUAACGUGGACCCGUGAUCCGGGUUGCGGACAGUGUCUGGUGGGUAGUUUGACUGGGGCGGUCUCCUCCUAAAGAGUAACGGAGGAGCACGAAGGUUGGCUAAUCCUGGUCGGACAUCAGGAGGUUAGUGCAAUGGCAUAAGCCAGCUUGACUGCGAGCGUGACGGCGCGAGCAGGUGCGAAAGCAGGUCAUAGUGAUCCGGUGGUUCUGAAUGGAAGGGCCAUCGCUCAACGGAUAAAAGGUACUCCGGGGAUAACAGGCUGAUACCGCCCAAGAGUUCAUAUCGACGGCGGUGUUUGGCACCUCGAUGUCGGCUCAUCACAUCCUGGGGCUGAAGUAGGUCCCAAGGGUAUGGCUGUUCGCCAUUUAAAGUGGUACGCGAGCUGGGUUUAGAACGUCGUGAGACAGUUCGGUCCCUAUCUGCCGUGGGCGCUGGAGAACUGAGGGGGGCUGCUCCUAGUACGAGAGGACCGGAGUGGACGCAUCACUGGUGUUCGGGUUGUCAUGCCAAUGGCACUGCCCGGUAGCUAAAUGCGGAAGAGAUAAGUGCUGAAAGCAUCUAAGCACGAAACUUGCCCCGAGAUGAGUUCUCCCUGAGACUU
rnacentral:rRNA from 1 species